UGCUGGGUAGCUCGCUCGGUUAAGGCACUGCAUUGCAGUGCAGAAGUGACUAUCACGACACGGGUUCGAUCCCCAGUCUUACCAA